rnacentral:rRNA from 1 species
UAGGGAAUCUUCGGCAAUGGACGAAAGUCUGACCGAGCAACGCCGCGUGAGUGAAGAAGGUUUUCGGAUCGUAAAACUCUGUUGUUAGAGAAGAACAAGGGUGAGAGUAACUGUCCACCCCUUGACGGUAUCUAACCAGAAAGCCACGGCUAACUACGUGCCAG